rfam:Picea glauca, whole genome shotgun sequence.
GCAUGCCUACAACAUAGCGUUAAUUCAUUGGAUCCCAUUAGAACUCUGUAGUUAAGGGCGCUUGGGCUAGAGUAGUACUAGGAUGGAUGAUUGCCCAGGAAGUACUAGUGUUUUACAUGCA